rnacentral:rRNA from 1 species
AAUGAACGUUGGCGGCAUGGAUUAGGCAUGCAAGUCGAGCGAGAAGUGUAGCAAUACACGGAAAGCGGCGGAAGGGGGAGUAAUACGUGGGAAUCUGCCCUUAGACCUGGGAUAGCAGCGGGAAACUGCUGGUAAUACCAGAUAAUGUCUAUGGACCAAAGGUGUGAUUCCGUCUAGGGAUGAGCCCACGUCCUAUUAGCUAGUUGGUAGGGUAAUGGCCUACCAAGGCGAUGAUGGGUAGCGGGUGUGAGAGCAUGACCCGCCUCACUGGGACUGAGACACUGCCCAGACACCUACGGGUGGCUGCAGUCGAGGAUCUUCGGCAAUGGGCGCAAGCCUGACCGAGCGAUGCCGCGUGCGGGAUGAAGGCCUUCGGGUUGUAAACCGCUGUCGAGGGGGAGCAACUUCCAUAGAGUUAUCUUUAUGGAUUGAGUGAUCCCUGGAGGAAGGACGGGCUAAGUUCGUGCCAGCAGCCGCCGUAAAAC